ACCAGACUCCUACGGGAGGCAGCAGUGGGGAAUAUUGGGCAAUGGGCGCAAGCCUGACCCAGCAACGCCGCGUGAAGGAAGAAGGCUUUCGGGUUGUAAACUUCUUUUCUCAGGGACGAAGCAAGUGACGGUACCUGAGGAAUAAGCCACGGCUAACUACGUGCCAGCAGCCGCGGUAAUACGUAGGUGGCAAGCGUUAUCCGGAUUUACUGGGUGUAAAGGGCGUGUAGGCGGGGACGCAAGUCAGAUGUGAAAACCACGGGCUCAACCUGGAGACUGCACUUGAAACUGGGUGUGUUGAGGGCAGGAGAGGAAAGUGGAAUUCCUAGUGUAGCGGUGAAAUGCGUAGAUAUUAGGAGGAACACCAGUGGCGAAGGCGACUUUCUGGACUGUACCUGACGCUGAGGCGCGAAAGCGUGGGUAGCGAACGGGAUUAGAUACCCUCGUAC
rnacentral:rRNA from 1 species